rnacentral:rRNA from 1 species
UACGAAGGGGGGCUAGCGUUGUUCGGAAUUACUGGGCGUAAAGGGCGCGUAGGCGGUCCUGAUCGUCGGAUGUGAAAGGCCUGGGCUCAACCUGGGAAUGGCAUCCGAUACGGCGGGACUGGAGUGUGGGAGAGGUUGGUGGAAUUCCCAGUGUAGAGGUGAAAUUCGUAGAUAGUUGGGAAGAACACCGGUGGCGAAGGCGGCCAACUGGACCACAACUGACGCUGAGGCGCGAAAGCGUGGGGAGCAACAGG